AAACAACUCUCAGCAACGGAUAUCUUGGCUCUUGCAACGAUGAAGAACGCAGCGAAAUGCGAUACGUAGUGUGAAUUGCAGAAUUCCGCGAAUNAUCGAGUCUUUGAACGCAAGUUGCGCCCGAGGCUUGUCCGAGGGCAUUUCCGCUAGAGCGUCACCG
rnacentral:rRNA from 1 species